rnacentral:lncRNA from 1 species
GCUAGUAGCGGCUUCGGGCAGGACGGCGGCCGAGAGGCAGGGCGCGUUUUGGUUCGCGCGGAUCCGGGCGGCGAGAUGCGGUACAACGAGAAAGAGUUGCAAGCGCUGUCCCGGCAGCCGGCAGAGAUGGCGGCCGAGCUGGGCAUGCGGGGCCCCAAGAAGGGCAGCGUGGCCAAGAGGCGGCUGGUGAAGCUGGUGGUCAACUUCCUCUUUUACUUCCGCCCGGACGAGGCCGAGGUAGGGGUGUGGGGGGCGCGGGGGACCCGCGCGGCCCAGAGGCCGGUGCUCAUGGCCGUGUCUCGCGCAGCCCCUCGGAGCCCUGUUGCUGGAGCGCUGCAGAGUGGCCCAGGAAGAGCCGGGAGGCUUCUCCAUCAGUAAGUGUUCUGUUCCCCACUUUCCACCCCGGACUCUGCUCCGCGCACGCGAUCCUUUUUACUCCCUUAGGAAUCUCCAUUUGUCCUGGAUCUCGCGUCCGCUGGUGGCCCAUGACUGUCCCAGCUGUCACUCAGAGUGACCACUGGGUCAGGUUCUCAUCUUAGUUUCUUCCCCGAUCCUCUGCCGGUUUACGGCCGAGAGAGGUGCAGUCUGUGAACUUGGUGUGUAUAACUGAAGCAGUCUCUGCCGUGGGAGUGAGUGUGCGGGCA